rnacentral:lncRNA from 1 species
AAGACAUAUGUGUCCUUUUGAGGAUCAAACUUAGUUGUUAUUUCUGGUCCCCAGCUUCCAAAUUGGCGAAGGGGAAGAACCUGAAAUCCUGGUAAAGAAGCCUGGGCCCUGUCACAAACACACAAAGAAGAAAUGAAUAGUGUAACCAUGUUGUAUACAUUUUCAUGGGAAGUUCCUGGGAUGCUUUUCUAUGUAAAGUCGGGUAUGCUCUUUAACUUAAAAAAAAAAACUUAAAGAUAGAAAAGCUGCAAGUGAGUAUUCAAAAUAUAUGAAAAAAUGAGCUCAUACACUUCCUCUGGUUCUCGAACAUCAAUCAAUUGAGCCUCUUCCAGGAAAGAUGGAUCUUGCAGCUUCACAUGAAACUCGUUU